rnacentral:rRNA from 1 species
GGCCAGACUCCUACGGGAGGCAGCAGUGGGGAAUAUUGCACAAUGGGGGAAACCCUGAUGCAGCGACGCCGCGUGAGUGAAGAAGUAUUUCGGUAUGUAAAGCUCUAUCAGCAGGGAAGAAAAUGACGGUACCUGACUAAGAAGCCCCGGCUAACUACGUGCCAGCAGCCGCGGUAAUACGUAGGGGGCAAGCGUUAUCCGGAUUUACUGGGUGUAAAGGGAGCGUAGACGGCAUGGCAAGUCAGAUGUGAAAGCCCGGGGCUCAACCCCGGGACUGCAUUUGAAACUGUCAGGCUGGAGUGCAGGAGAGGUAAGUGGAGUUCCUAGUGUAGCGGUGAAAUGCGUAGAUAUUAGGAGGAACACCAGUGGCGAAGGCGGCUUACUGGACUGUAACUGACGUUGAGGCUCGAAAGCGUGGGGAGCAAACAGGAUUAGAUACCCUAGUA